UACGAAGGGGGCUAGCGUUGCUCGGAAUUACUGGGCGUAAAGCGCGCGCAGGCGGCUAUCCAAGUCAGUGGUGAAAGCCCGGAGCUCAACUCCGGAACUGCCAUUGAAACUGUUUAGCUUGAGGACGAGAGAGGUGAGUGGAAUUCCCAGUGUAGAGGUGAAAUUCGUAGAUAUUCGCAAGAACACCAGUGGCGAAGGCGGCCAACUGGACCAACACUGACGCUGAGGCGCGAAAGCGUGGGGAGCAAACAGG
rnacentral:rRNA from 1 species